rnacentral:rRNA from 1 species
UGGGGGAUAUUGCACAAUGGGCGAAAGCCUGAUGCAGCGACGCCGCGUGGGGGAUGAAGGCCUUCGGGUUGUAAACUUCUUUUGCUCUGAACAAGGCAUGCCUUUGGGGUGUGUUGAGUGUAGGGGUUGAUUAGCGCCGGCUAACUACGUGCCAGCAGCCGCGGUAAUACGUAGGGCGCGAGCGUUGUCCGGAAUUAUUGGGCGUAAAGGGCUUGUAGGUGGCUGGUUGCGUCUGUCGUGAAAGCUCAUGGCUUAACUGUGGGUUUGCGGUGGGUACGGGCUGGCUUGAGUGCAGUAGGGGAGGAUGGAAUUCCUGGUGUAGCGGUGGAAUGCGCAGAUAUCAGGAGGAAUACCGGUGGCGAAGGCGGGUCUCUGGGCUGUUACUGACGCUGAGGAGCGAAAGCGUGGGGAGCGAACAGG